rnacentral:rRNA from 1 species
UCCCUAUGGGGUGCAGCAGGCGCGAAAACUUUACAAUGCUGGCAACAGCGAUAAGGGAACCUCGAGUGCCAGGUUACAAAUCUGGCUGUCGAGAUGCCUAAAAAGCAUUUCAUAGCAAGGGCCGGGCAAGACCGGUGCCAGCCGCCGCGGUAAUUCA